UUUUCUCCUCUCUUUCAUCCAAUCGCUUGCCUUCUUUCCUGACCUUUCGAUCUGUUUUGGUCUAACAAUGUUUCUCUCCAAUUUCGUUUCCAUUGAUUCUGGUUUUUCUAAGUUCUUUUGUAGGUCCAUCCCGGCAGCUGAAUAAAAACUUGCAGAUAAAAGUUUGGGAUAGUGGACGGCAAGGCUGGUUGCGCAAACAUUAACGACCAGGUGAGGUUGUUCGUUCCUUUUUUUUCCUCGCCUCCUGAUCUCUUUCCCUCUCAUUCCCCUCUAUAUUCUCCCCACCUAUCUCAUUUUUAUUUACCUCUCUGUGGAUCCGUCUAAUUUUUCGUUCCAAGCAUGGCAUAGAGCAUCACCUCUAAAUUGUUAUACGUGAUGGAUGAGAGAAGAGUAAUUGUUCACUUAAUUUGCGAAUAGCAAAGCAGGGAAUUUCCUUUUGUAAAAGUUACUUCUUGGAAAAUUUGGGUGAAAUGAGCUCAUAUUUAUUUAAGGUAAUACUAAAAAAGUGGUAAAGGCAUGUAUAUUUUGUACCAUCAAUAGUGAAUUCACGGAAUGCGAAUAAGCAUGUGCAGAGAACUCCGUUCAAACUGUGUGAGUUACAGGAAAAGACAUAAACUGAAGAGGAGUCAUAUGAAUAUAUUGCUUUCUCUUACUACUUAAUGGUCUCCUAAUACAUGAGAAUGCUAUAGAAAGACUUCUUGGGAAGGUGAGUACAAAAUGAUAGAUUAUGUUUUAAUUUUCUAAUCUGUUAGCUUUCCCCAGUCUCAUAUUGAGUACAGAUUGGAUUCAUUAGUUCUUCCUCCUUUCCUAAAUGAUUUAUAUCCGUAAAUUUUUAUUUGAGUAGGAAGUUAGCCCCUUUGGUGACCAUUUGGGUUACUUGAUAGACCAUGGCGACCUUAUUACUCUCAGGAAAAUGGAUGAUAGAAAAGGCAAGAAAAUGUUCUGAUUUUCAUAAGAAAUCAUGAGAAUAUAAAACACCAUGAUUUUCAUAAGAAAUCAUGAGAAUAUGUUGUAUGUAAUUGGCAGAAGAAUAUAGAAGUAAAUCAAGUAUUAAUUUUUAUUAAAGUUUGUGAUAUGUUACCAAUGUUUGCAGUAGCUUCAUCCAAUUUCGAUAUUCUAUUUAGUUUUUCUCUAUGGGUGACCUUCGGGUUUUUCUUGACCGCAUAGAAACAAUAAUGGUUGGAAGAAGAUCCUAGAGGGACAAAAUGAAGCAUCUGGUUUCCAUUUUCAGGUGUCCGAAGCCGGCGAGUAUUUUUCAGGUGCCGAAAUUACUAUGACCAAUGUGUCGACUAGCAUAAUGUACAAAAUCACUCUCAUCUUUCUCUCAAGGGGUUUUUUAAUUUGUCUGCAUCUAAGCAUUUAGUUCCAUCCAUGCAAGUUUUGGGUGGCACAAAUAGUCUCUGUUAUAUCUGCUGAUAAGAAGAGACAUCUAGCUUAGUUGUGCACUUCACAUCUUGUGAUGUUCAUAAAAGUGUAAGGGCAUGUGUUUCCUUUUUCAGUACAGGUUAAUCUUCAUAGUUACAUGUUUUCACAGUAAUCGAUAUUUACAAAAAUAGUGUCUCAUUCUGAGGUUGAAAAGCUAUGGCAACCAGUCCAUAACCAUUAUUUAUCGUGAAAUUGCCUUAUCCCGAAGUUACACUCAUCAACUGGGUAACAAGCUGUUCCGUAGUUGAUGUUUUCAAAUAUUGGCUUAUCUUUUAUUUUAUUUUCCCAGCUUAGCAGUGCAAAUCUGAAGGAAUGGUAUUCUUUUUGUCCUGCUGACUUUAUUUAUUUCAGGACGAAGUCAAGACCCUUACUUUUGGUUGUGUACACAAAUUGAAGAUGAAGCUCUCAGCAAGUCUUAGUUCAGCUACAUGAUGCUCUUUCUUACAUCUAAAAGGAGAGAAAUUGAAGCUAUUAUGCGCCCCCGUGAUGUGCUGCCAAUUAUUCACCUAGGAAAGCCUAGCACCACAAAACUACUCAGGCACGUCCAUGUAAAUGUGUGCCUUUGCCGGCGAGACCGGCCUCCUUCUUUCUCGCCUCCUCCAGUUCCACGUCGGCGUCGUGGUCUUCAAGAUGUACUGUUGUACUGUAUCCUCGACGCACUGGCUCUUCUGCUGAUACGCGACCAAGGCUAGAUUUCAUGGGUGUUCUUUACGUGUUGUUGGGCCCAUUGGGUUUUCAGGUCUCCUCUAGCGCACACAUGACACAUGUAUCAAUGCACUCAUAAUUUAUAAGUACAAAAUUACAGCCUAUGCUACGACAUCAAACCCCCAGAGACGAAAAGAUAUCAGCUGCUGUAUUCACCUUCUUUGGUCCCUAGAUAGCCCUACUUUCAGGCAAAGAUGAACUUAGUUGUUGUUAUGUCCGUGGUCCACUAUUUUGUUUCCCUUUUCUCUGUCCUAUUUCAGUUUGAUCAAUGCAGGCAAAGAUGAAUCAGUUUGAUCAAUGCAACCUUCUAUUCCUAUGUCA